rnacentral:rRNA from 1 species
UACGUAGGGUGCGAGCGUUUGUCCGGAAUUAUUGGGCGUAAAGAGCUCGUAGGCGGUUUGUCGCGUCUGCUGUGAAAACUCGGGGCUCAACUCCGAGCUUGCAGUGGGUACGGGCAGACUAGAGUGCGGUAGGGGAGACUGGAAUUCCUGGUGUAGCGGUGGAAUGCGCAGAUAUCAGGAGGAACACCGGUGGCGAAGGCGGGUCUCUGGGCCGUAACUGACGCUGAGGAGCGAAAGCAUGGGGAGCGAACAGG